rnacentral:pre_miRNA from 1 species
GGGCACUGCCGGGUGACCCUGGAAAUCCAGGGUGGGUGAGGCCUGUCUCCGACCCUUUCCAGGCGACCCACUCUUGGUUUCCAGGGUUGCCC